AUUGAACGCUGGCGGCAUGCCUUACACAUGCAAGUCGAACGGCAGCACGGGUGCUUGCACCUGGUGGCGAGUGGCGAACGGGUGAGUAAUACAUCGGAACAUGUCCUGUAGUGGGGGAUAGCCCGGCGAAAGCCGGAUUAAUACCGCAUACGAUCUACGGAUGAAAGCGGGGGACCUUCGGGCCUCGCGCUAUAGGGUUGGCCGAUGGCUGAUUAGCUAGUUGGUGGGGUAAAGGCCUACCAAGGCGACGAUCAGUAGAUGGUCUGAGAGGACGACCAGCCACACUGGGACUGAGACACGGCCCAGACUCCUACGGGAGGCAGCAGUGGGGAAUUUUGGACAAUGGGCGAAAGCCUGAUCCAGCAAUGCCGCGUGUGUGAAGAAGGCCUUCGGGUUGUAAAGCACUUUUGUCCGGAAAGAAAUCCUUGGCUCUAAUACAGUCGGGGGAUGACGGUACCGGAAGAAUAAACACCGGCUAACUACGU
rnacentral:rRNA from 1 species